GUGCUCACUUCAGCAGCACGCAUGCUGAAACUGGAACCACACAGAGAAGGUUAGCCCAGCCCCUACCUGAGGAUGGCCUGCAAAUUCGUAUCAUUUAUUGACUGCUU